rnacentral:rRNA from 1 species
GACGAACGCUGGCGGCGUGCUUAACACAUGCAAGUCGAACGGAAAGGCCCUGCUUUUGUGGGGUGCUCGAGUGGCGAACGUGUGAGUAACACGUGAGUAACCUGCCCUUGACUUUGGGAUAACUUCAGUAAACUGGGGCUAAUACCGGAUAGGAGCUCCUGCUGCAUGGUGGGGGUUGGAAAGUUUCGGCGGUUGGGGAUGGACUCGCGGCUUAUCAGCUUGUUGGUGGGGUAGUGGCUUACCAAGGCUUUGACGGGUAGCCGGCCUGAGAGGGUGACCGGACACAUUGGGACUGAGAUACGGCCCAGACUCCGACGGGAGGCAGCAGUGGGGAAUAUUGCACAAUGGGCGGAAGCCUGAUGCAGCAACGCCGCGUGCGGGAUGACGGCCUUCGGGUUGUAAACCGCUUUCGCCUGUGACGAAGCGUGAGUGACGGUAAUGGGUAAAGAAGCACCGGCUAACUACGUG